rnacentral:rRNA from 1 species
UACGUAGGGAGCGAGCGUUGUCCGAAGUUACUGGGCGUAAAGCGCGCGUAGGCGGGCUAUUAAGUGAGAAGUGAAAGGCUGGGGCUCAACCUCAUGCAGUGCUUCUCAUACUGGUAGUCUUGAGGGCGGUAGAGAGAAGUGGAAUGGCUGGUGUAGCGGUGAAAUGCGUAGAGAUCAUGAGGAAGACCAGUGGCGAAGGCGGGUCUCUGGACAGUUCCUGACACUGAGACACGAAGGCCAGGGGAGCAAACGGG